CUACAUGUAACAACUAUCACAUCCUAAGGUAAUAAAUAUAACAAACUAUCAAGUAAUUGUAACUACCUUAAACAAUAUUCAACUAAUUCUGAAAAAUCUAUUUUAUAACAAACUCAAGAUUUGGACACAUUAUGUUACGCUAAUUAGCAAGUAUUACUCUGCAUAUAGUUCAAGUUGUAUGCUAUUGAAACACUACAAAAAAAAAAAAAAAAAAAAAACUAGGAGCCACUCAACGUUGAAAUAAUGCUAUCUAGCAAAGUUUCAUCAUUCUACAAUUUAUAAUAGGGAAAAUAAUCAACUUUUACUAGUAUAUGUUCUCAAUAUGAUGAAAACUUGCCCAGGAAGCAUUUAUAAUUCAUGCCGGGUAGCUCACUAGCUUGAGUGAAUGGAUUAAAUGUGAUGAUGAGUUAAAGGUCUAGGGGUUUGAAUCUUGACGACAGAGAAAAUACUAACAUAACCAUUAAAGUACUGACAUUUAUUAUUCAAAAAAAUACUAACAUUUGUCAUUGAAAACAAAAUCAGCAUAAUAUCAUAUACAAAAACAUGAUCAUCUAAUACAAGGAAACAAACCACAAAAUUUGUUGAAAAAUUUGCCGUUCUUGUUAGAACAUUGAAGCUCGAACCAAGUGGGUGGCAAUAUUUGCUUAUUAUCCUCAAAACCAACCGAACCAACCGGAAUCCGUACCUCACCAACAAAAUCCACUACCUUUGAUUGAUCACUAUGAUUAACAACAUUGACAACAAGCACAUCCUCAGCAAUAUCCUUCACCUUAAAAACAAACUCCUCGUUCCAAAUGGGAUUGAACGUGUUUUUCAAUAUCCUUGUCUUGUAUUUAAACUUUCCAAGUUUAAGCUUCACACGAGAAUUUUUCACGGGUAAGUCUUUGGCUUCUAAUACACAGACAUAUAACUUGUUCAACAUAGUUUAUAAAGCAAAAGCGGUAUGGCAUGUUGGAUUGGAGAAGAGAAAACGGUGAUAAUGGGUUUUAGUGUUUUAUACACUUCUGUUUUGUUAUUAGUGGCAGAAGAAUACGUGUAAGUAGAAGAAAAUGACACGUGGAGGGUUAGCACAUGGACAAAAUAGAACGUGGAAUUUGGGUAAGUGAAAGCUAGUUUGUCAUUACUCUAAGAUAUCAUUUUUGUGACUCAUAAUAUAUCAUAAUGAUUUACGUUGUGACUCAACUUUUGCUUAGAAAAAGUUUGUUUUCGUGUAGCUUUGUGUGUUUCUGUUAUAGGAAACUUCAAAAUUGAAGUAUAACGAUAGGAUGACCUAUAUAUAGGAUAAGUAUUGCUGCGAGAUUUAAGUUAUAUAUAUAAUAACGGUGUGAUUAAAGUAAAAAUAAGUUGGCGGUGGGAGAUAACUUUUGCAGGCAAUGAAUGAAACAUUCUUUUACCUAGAAUACAAGCCAAUGCAACGCUCAAAGAGGCAAAAAGCACAGUUACUUGCACUCACACAUGAAGAAAACCGCACGAGUUUGAAUCUUGCAUUCGAUCUCUUUUCAUUUCCUUAUUUUCCUACCUUCAUUCUUUAGUAAAAAUGGUUCCAUCAAACAUAAUAAAAA
rnacentral:lncRNA from 1 species